rnacentral:tRNA from 1 species
AGUUCUGUAGUGAAAUUCAUGUUGAGUUGCAAGCUCAGUGAUGUGCGUUUAAGGCGCGCCGGAACUU